UACAGAGGGGGCAAGCGUUGUUCGGAAUUACUGGGCGUAAAGGGCGCGUAGGCGGCCUUCUAAGUCGAACGUGAAAUCCCCGGGCUCAACCCGGGAACUGCGUCCGAUACUGGAAGGCUUGAAUCCGGGAGAGGGAUGCGGAAUUCCAGGUGUAGCAGUGAAAUGCGUAGAUAUCUGGAGGAACACCGGUGGCGAAGGCGGCGUUCUGGACGGCAUCUGACACUGAGAAACGAAAGCCAGGGGAGCAAACGGG
rnacentral:rRNA from 1 species